CAGUAGCCGCGGUAAUACGUAGGGUGCGAGCGUUAAUCGGAAUUACUGGGCGUAAAGCGUGCGCAGGCGGUUCGUUAAGACAGAUGUGAAAUCCCCGGGCUUAACCUGGGAACUGCAUUUGUGACUGACGGGCUAGAGUAUGGCAGAGGGGGGUAGAAUUCCACGUGUAGCAGUGAAAUGCGUAGAGAUGUGGAGGAAUACCGAUGGCGAAUGCAGCCCCCUGGGCCAAUACUGACGCUCAUGCACGAAAGCGUGGGGAGCAAACAGGAUUAGAUACCCCCGUAGUCCCUGUCUCUUAUAC
rnacentral:rRNA from 1 species